UCCCAUUUUUUUGAAUAUACAAUUCAAGAGACCGUCUGCACAAAAUCCAUGACUGAUGUCAACGUUGAUCAGUGUGAAAUGAACAAGUCGGAGUCUGCUAGAGUGGGAUUCUGCCAGGCAUCACACUAUAGUUAUUGGGACCUUCCACUCUCUCCUUCGAUCGAUGUAAACUGUGAAAUAUAUGAACCUGACCGCUUGGGUGACAAACCCGAUACCUUGCUGGGUUCUGUGGAAGUUCGUCCCUCUACUUCCACUUUGCCUCCAAGACUACGACCGAGAAGCAAGAACUGUCCUGGAGAUUCUACAAUUCCCAAGGAGAUGUGGUUCUGAACAUGGCCGACCAAGAAGACUUUCCUGAAAAAAGCAGCACUGCUGUUGAGAUGUUGAAUGUUCAAAAUAAAGAUAAGAAACAUUCCAAAUUGUUCUAAGUGU